GAUGAACGCUGGCGGCGUGCCUAAUACAUGCAAGUCGAUCGAACGGACGAGAAGCUUGCUUCUCUGAUGUUAGCUGCGGACGGGUGAGUAACACGUGGAUAACCUACCUAUAAGACUGGGAUAACUUCGGGAAACCGGAGCUAAUACCGGAUGAUAUUUUGAACCGCAUGGUUCAAAAGUGAAAGACGGUCUUGCUGUCACUUAUAGAUGGAUCCGCGCUGCAUUAGCUAGUUGGUAAGGUAACGGCUUACCAAGGCAACGAUGCAUAGCCGACCUGAGAGGGUGAUCGGCCACACUGGAACUGAGACACGGUCCAGACUCCUAAGGGAGGCAGCAGUAGGGAAUCUUCCGCAAUGGGCGAAAGCCUGACGGAGAAACGACGCGUGAGUGAUGAAGGUCUUCGGAUAGUAAAACUCUGUUAUUAGGGAAGAACAUAUGUGUAAGUAACUGUGCACAUCUUGACGGUACAUAAUCAGAAAGCCACGGCUAACUACGUG
rnacentral:rRNA from 1 species